ACCCGCAGUGCCGCCCGCCCGCCUUCCAGGCUCGCGGCGGCCGGGCUCUCACUUCCUCUGCCUCUGCCCGCCUCCCCGGCUCGCCGGCUGGCGUCGCCACCGCCUCCUCGUCCCCGGCCACCGCUGUCGCCUCCGCUGCUGCAAUCCAGGGCGCACGCUCUCGCACUUUCCGCUGGCGGCGCGGAGGAUGCCCCCUGUAGCAGUCGGGGAGAAAUAGCCUCCCGGCCGGGCUGGACCACCCUUGGUGGCGAGGAAGGAAAUCCGGGCUCCGCUUCCCUUGAUGGCACUGCAGCAGCUGGCAGCCGGGACGGCGCCCACGAAACGGGCGCGCCAAGCUGGGCGCGGGAGGCGCAGAGAGGGACCCCGGGAGCAGGCUGAGCUCCGCUGCCGGAGUUCGCAAGUGGCUGGGACUCCGCAGGUGACUCUGUCCAGACCUGGGGCCCUCCAGGGAUGUUGCUGAAGGAUUCUGAAGUCAGGUAGACCUGCAUAGCUGAGUGCCCGGCACUGAGCACAUGGCCUUCCCUAUCAGUAUCAUUCAUUCAUUAAGCAUCGCUGAUGCACAGGCUGUUUGUUCAGCUCUCACUGUGUGCCAUUUUGGCUGCCUGAUGCAUCCCAGCUCGUAUACCUUCCAGUGACCAAGAGGAAGGAUAGCUACCCCCUUGUAGAGGCAGGAAAACUGAGAAUUCAAGAGAGGCUGAAUGGAGCCCCAAGGACAUGAAUUUAAUAAGUUGUCUGAGCCUAGGCACAUCUAACUGAUCCCAAAUCUGUGCUCUUUCAAGUCUCUGCUAUCCUUCUCUCUGAGUGUUGUGGGUUGAAUUAUAGUCCCCAUCCCACCAAAGCAGUCCAUGUUCUAAUUCCUGGAGCCUGUGGACGUGGUACCUUCCACAUGUUAAGAGGGACUUUGUUUAAAUGAAGGACUUUGAGAUGAGAAGGUGAUCCUGGAAUAUCCAAAUGAGUUCUAGGUCACUGACAAGAUCCUUAGUAGAAGGAAGCAGGGAGUCAGAAUCAGUCUGAGGAGAUGUGACCAUGGACACAAGAUGUGGAAUGAUGAGAAGAAGGGAUCAGGAACCAAGGAAUGUAGGCAGCUGUUAGAAGCUGAAAAGGCAAAGAAAUGAAUCUCCCGAAAGCCUGAAGCAGGAAUUAGCAUUGUGGAGCUUUGAUUUGAGACUUUUGACCACCAGAACUAUAAUAAAAUAAUAUUUGUAAGCCACCAAGUUUGUGGUAAUUAUAAUAUACUAUACGGAGAAAAAAAUAGGAAAAGAUGCCAGAAGAAUAAAUGAUUGUCCAGAGAAUGAAUGAGUGACACACAGUGAUAUUAACAAUGGCCCGCUUCAUAUCCUAGAGGCUCACAGUGUUCUCCAGGGCCCAGGACCUAUGUGGGAGAGGUUGGCAUUACCAUUAGAAUCUGUAGUCCUUCAUUUAUUUCAGGUUCCUUCAUAUAGUGCUUCAUUCAUUGUUAAAUCCCCAAAUUUUAUUCAUGUUCAUUGUAGUACUUCAUUUAUGUUCACUUGGUGCUCCAUUUACAUUCAUAUAGUACUUCAUUUAUUGUUAAAUCAUAAAUCUUUUCUGGAAGUGGAGUAAUUGAAAAAAUUUUUUAUUGUGAUGUAGCUUACAGACAGCAAAGUUGAAAAAUCAAUGAAUUUUUAUAAGUGCAUUGAACCAUGGAUACAUCCUUAAUGUGAAGAUAUAAAACAUGAUCAUCCAGGCCGGGGAUUUAGCUCAGUGGUUCCGCUGCCUGCCUUGCAAGGGCAAGGUCCUGAGUUCAAUGCCUGGUACCAGAAAAAAAAAACAUGCUCACCUUUUAUAACAUUCCUUUGCAUCACUUCGAAUACUUAUACCCCCAUCACUGGAGAGUAAUUUGCCUGACCUUGAACUUCAUGUGAAUGGAACCAUGCUUUACCUUUGCUUUGGUGCUUGGCUUCCUUUGCUUGGUGUUUGUGAGAUGUACCUACGCUGUUGCAUGUAUCAGUCCUGCCUUUUCAAAUUGAUUUAUACCCAUGCUCUUUUUGAAUUUUAAUUUAUUUUUUGGUGGUUCUGGGAAUUGAACUCAGGGCCUUUGCACUAAUCUACACCCUUAUCCGUAUAUUCUUUUUUUUUUUGAGGCAGCAUCCCACUAAGUCUCUAAAUUACCCAAGUUGAGGUCCAUCUUGCAGUCCUCCUGCCUCCAGUUCCCAGAGUGAUGGAUUUAACCAUGCCCAGCACCCACUCUCCUUCUUAAGGACAUGUGGCCAGCUUCUCCCUCUUUGAGAUCCUAAUGAAUAGAGCUACUAGGAGCAUUCUGGUUCAAGUCUUGGGGUAGAUAUGUGUUCUCAUUUCUAUCAGAUACACACCUGGGAGUGGAAUUACAGGUUCAUAAGGUAAGUGGAUUUGGCUUUUGUGGACAAGCCCAAUUUUCCAGCCUGGUCCUAAAUCUAGGAAGGUCAUCCUCGCCCACAUCAGUCUUCUUUCCGAAUGACCCAUCUUCCGUCCUGCGCUGCACUACUGACCACAUUUGGGAGACAAGGAGGCCAGGGGGUCCCUCAUAUCUUGGUCCAGGAGAGCCUUCUCUGAGCUGGCGGUUUCUGUAGAGAUGGGAUUUUGGAGAGGGUAGAGAAGGAAGGGGGACACAUUCUUUCUGUGUUUGACCUUCCAUUUCAAAGUUGAUGAGGUAGAAGUUUGGGUUUCAGCUGAAUGUGGGGUGAAGAUACCUUCCAAACCUAAGUCAUCAGCUUACCACUUCCAUGAUUUUCCCCACAUUUGCUUAUUUUUCUUGGAAUUGAUUUACUUUUUUGCUGAAAAUUGCUUAUUGGGGAGGUUAACUUACCUGCAAAUAUGAAAUCAAUAUGCCUUUCCCUAAGUAGGGCUUAAUCACGAUAAACACUCAAAGUCCCAACAAGGAAGAUUGAUCCCAGCCACAUGCCCUUCCUUGCCUGGGGCACUGAUCCCUAGGUCUGUGUCUUGAACACAUUAGCCAGCCUUAGGGAGGUGUUAAAGGUCUAUCAGUCCCAAAUUGAGACACCGCUUGAUGUAAUCAGAGAGACUGAAAGACAUUUAAAAGCAAGUAAUUUUUCGCUUUGAGAUGGGAGAUUAUUUAAUGCUGUAAUCAUCUUUUAUGCCAAGAGGGCAUCUGUACUCUGGGCAACACUGGUGUAUUAAAAAAAUCUUCUGACUGGGUAUCAGAUCUUUUCUUGAAUGAUCUACUAGCUCUGCAAUAUUGGAUCAGUGACCUCACCUUUCUGAGCUUCAACUUCCUGAUUUGUAUAGUGAAAUUGUCAUAGCACCUGUUUCUGAGGCCUAUGAGACAGCCAAGAGAUAAUUGCUUUUGAUGGGUUUGUGAAUGGGUCAUCUGAUGAACCCUGUAUCUAAAGACUGAAGUGGACAUGGGAAUGAACACACAGGACAUUAUGCUUCUGCUAGGGCUCCUCUCCCUAGGCAGAGUCAUCUACCCUCCUGGGGAGUGUUUAUUACUUUGGGAUCCUGCCAAGGUUAAGUGCAGAAAAUGGCCCUGGUUUAUCAUUUGCUCAAAGGCUGGGACAUUUAAUCAGAGCCUCUGGAGGGUAAGCAGGAGGUUCCCAGUACACCUGCUCCUGGGCUGCAGUGAUGAGUUGGAAGAGGCAGAUUCUCUAACAGACCCAUCUGGGUCCUAGCCUUGUUCCAGUGUCUGCCUACUGUGUGUCCGGAGCACACCACUUCUCUUUAGGACUCAGUUUGCUCAUGUGUAAAUGGGAAUAUUCACUCCUACCUCAUUAGAUGGUAAGGAAGAUAGCACGAGAUGAUGCACAAAACACAACAGCAGGGUAUUUAACAGACAAACAUAGCUAUUACCAUUGGGGGGAAGUCAGGGACUGUAUUUAAAUACUCUGAAGAGCUGAAUGCCCCUCUUGAACUCAUGAUCAUCCUAAAUCUUCCUCUCAGAAUGUCUCUCUCCCACUUGCCCCCCAGACUCCAUUCCCUUCUUGCCUGUGCACCCCCCCACAGGCCAGGCCAUGUUUGUUCACAAGCCUGGGUAGGUGUUCUGUGGCAGCUCUGACUCAGGUAAAACUUUUUAGGCUGAAAGUAUCUGAAACACAACUCAAAUGGGCUUUCGAAAAGAGAAUAAUUUGUUUUGCUCACAGACACCAAAAUCCACGUGUCUUGCUUAAGGUGUGACGUGAUCUAGGCUCAGACAAACCCAUUGGAUAUUAGUUUCUCUGCAUUUCUAGCUUCCCCUAGGCUUCAGCUGCCCUAAUGGUAGUAAGAUGACCCCAGGAGCCCAACCUCACCUCUCCCUGAUGUCCAAAUCCGUAAGAAACAGGAAUCUCUCUCUCCCAGCCAAAUUGAUUCUGAUCAGAUUGUCUACCUACUCCUAGAUGAGUGAGGUAGGUGGCCCAUACUGAUUGGCUUAGGCCAAGCAGGACCUCUUUUUGGAACUGAAUAUGGGGUCAACCCUACUGAACCCCAUUGGUUUGAGGAGAUGUUGAUUCUGCAGUGUAUCAGUGUUGGAAGAUGGAGGUAAUGGGGAAAGGAUGUUGGGGCUGUGGUCAACUAAUGUUCCCAUAUCUUUCUCAGCCAAAGCAAUAAGAGAUUUCCCAUUAGAAACCCAGCAGUGCAACAGGAUUGAAAGAGAGUAUGCAUUUCUCUCUCUCAAGUCCAUGCACAUGUAUACACCACACACACACACAAAUACACACACACACCCCCUCAUUCCCAGUGCCAUGUUGCCUGAAAAUAACAAGAUUGAAGGCACAGUGAUGAGUGGGGCCAUAUCACAUGGCACUAAUUUUUUCUGGCAUCUGUAGCAAUUUCAGGCUCCCAGUUGAGGCCUGAUUUGGCUUAGCUGGUUGGAGUGCUAGGCUCCUGAGGUCAAGGAUAGAAAAAGGAGCAGAGCCCUGGGCCUGGAGGCAGAACCCCUGGAUCCUGAGCACACUGUGUCACUGAGCUAGAGCCCUUGGACAAGGCGCUUUCCUCCCUGGGCCACUGUCUCUGUGUUGCUCCCAAAUCCCCACCCUCCUGCCCCAACUCCUCCGUUAGGUCACCCUUCCCAUCUCUGAGGCCUCAGCCUGACUCUCCAUCCCCAAACGGCAUGUGGUACCCCUGCGAGUGCUUCUGCAGCCACAGACUUUAGAGUUUAAAUCCAAGCUUUCUGAUGUACACCCUGAGUGUCUUUGGCCCAGUUUAUUGACCUCAGGCCUCAGUUUCCUCAUCUAUCAAAUGGAAAUAAUGCCACCAGUACCUAUUUUGUGGAUGAUUGCAAUAACUAUGCUGGAUGAUUUCUGUAUGUAUUUAACUCAGGCCUGGGCUCAGUAAAUGCUAGCUGGAAAAUGAUUCUGAGUCCAGGUGAAAUCCCAAGCCAGUGAAAUCAACCUUUCCCUCUCUCACUGUGUAAGAUAUAUGGGGCUAGGGGUUUGUAUCAUUCUCUUCUACACCUCAAUAUCUAGCCUUGUGCCUGGCACGUAGCAGGUACUCAAUAAAAACUGUUGAAUAAAUGUCCCAGUUCAGAGUAUUCUAAGGCAUCCCCAGCUCUGUUCAUAGCAUGGAACUGCAUAAGUAGGUUGGCCGCAGGCCUCGUCAGGAAGAUCAAAUCUGAAAGGCCACUGUGAACUGUAAGGAGGAGGCUUCCUGUGUAGUAGAUUUCAGUGGCACUAAAUUCUCUCCUCUUCUUUGAAAUCCUAUUCUCUGCUCUCUCUAGUUCCACCCACCCAGAGUCUUGGGGAAUACCCAUGCUUCAAUCCAUUCCCACUGCCCGCCUCUGGCUUUAAAGAACUUGUUAGACGUGCAGCAAGUUGGAGCAAGACAUGGCCAGGGGUGGAGGGGGGAAGAAGUCAUGAAAGUGGCUCCUCCACGGUGGAGAAGACAGGUAGCUGAAGAGCACAUUUGUGGUUUGCCCAGAGCUUGGCUUACAGAGACUGUGGACUUGCAGUAUUGGUAGAAUUGCCCUCUGUGGGAGCAGACCUAAGCAUGAUUACUCUCCUUGACAACCUCCCCAAGGGGUGGCCAAGAAGUGGAAGCUGGAGGCUGUACCCGCUCAGUCUCCUUGAGCUGGGAGCCUCCUCAGAACCUACAGCAGGCAGCUUGUUUCUCUUCCCCAAAGGCACUCUUGAAGCUGUGGACUGGCAGCUUUCUCUGGCCAACCAAAAUAUCCCAGGUGUACGUGUGUGUGUGGGAUAUCUGUUUUCCAAAUGGAAGCUGUCUUCCAGCCUUGCCUUUAUUUGUGUGUGUUAUUGGUUUGACUCAAUACAGUUUAUUGCUAAGUCAAGCUCCUCUGUACACAACAUUAUGCUUUGUACUCUCUAUACACACUGGGAGGUAGAAAAUAAGGAUGACAAUGAUAAUAACAUCAAUGAUGAUGGCAAAGGCAGUGCCCAGGCAUCAUGAUGAGAAUGAUGUCAAUGUCAGUGAUGAUGAUUUUGCUGAUGAUGACAUGUUGAUAAUAUAACAAAAAUCUACUGCCCUGCCAUCUUCAAAGUGCUUUAUUUAUUUAAUCCUCACAACCACCCAUUGAGAAAGGAACCCCGGUUAUUAAAUCCAUCACUUGCCAGUUAUGUGAUGCUGGGCAGUUGCUUUGUUUCACAGAGCCUCGACAUUCCUAUCUAUAAAUUGGGGAUAAAAGUAGCCAUUCUGGGUAACAUGCUUACCUGAUGUCUGAUGUGAUACUUAUAGCUCUAGCUUUGACCCUCCUGCCAACCCGUGGAAAAGACCUUGAUUUUACAAAAUAGCAGGCAAGUGUUCCCAGCUGGGAAUGGCUGAGUUGGGGUUCAAAGGCAGCCAAGGACUCACAGUCCUAUUGCCUUGCAGCACUUGUUGUGGGCAUCUCUGCAGAGAUAUUUCUGACCCACAUGAUCCACGUGGGCUACAGAGCCAGCUGGCCUGGGUCAGCCUCCAGCAAAGCCCUUGACCGAAGUAGCCUGGAGCCACCCUCAGCCAGGGCUUGGCUAUGGUGGCAGAAGGCUGGUGCUCUUGGGCUGGUGAACUGGUCACCUGAAACCUGGAAGAGUCUGGGAGGCAGAGACACAAGUCAAAGCCAAAGAAUCACAGCCAUAGUGUUUCUUAUUUUGGAGUCAAAAGAAUCUAGAUAUCUUUUUCCAGCCCUGCAAAUCUACAAAUAGGAGCCCUUGCUUACCAUGCACAAAAUUUGAUCCCCAGCACUGGAAAAAAAAAAUCCACAAGCAAGCAUCCAUAUCUCUAGGACCAAUCUAUCCGCUCUGGUGGCCAAUGGCCAUGUGUGGCAGCUGUGCACCUGAAAUGUGGCCAGGCUGAAUUGAAGUGUGCUGUAAGUGUGACAUACACACCAGAUUUUAAAGUCUUGGUAAGAAAAGGAAUUCAAACUUGUGAUUCUGCUAUCUCAGCCUCCCAGAGUGCUGGGCUUACAGAUGUGUGCCCCUGCGCCUGUCUACUUCUGCUGCUUUAAGCCACUUAAUUUGUAGUUUACUGUAGUUUGUUAUGGCAUCCCGGGACACUAAUUCACAAGGUGCUAUGGUCUGAAUACUAAUGCACCCUAAAGUUCACAUGCUCAUGUCCUCAUGCCCAGUGUGAUGGCAUUUGCAGCUAGGGGCAUUGGAAGGGAGGUGGUCAUGGAGGCAGACGUGCUCUGCAUGGGAUUCAUGUGCUGGCGAAAAGGGACAGGAAAGAGCUUGGUCCAUUUCCCAGGUGGAGCAGUGAGAAGAUAUCCUUCUGCAAGCUAAGAACCAGCACCUCACCAGUUAUAAGAUCUGGCGGCACUUUGACCGUGGACUUCACAGAUCUUUGACUUGUAAGGAAGAAGCGUUUGUUGUCUGUUGUAUUUGUUACAGAAGCUGAGUGGCUGUGACACCAGGCAUGGUGCUCUUGCUGUUGUCGCCUCACUGUAGGAAUCCCAGCUUAUCCCGGGGAGCUUGGAGAUGUGCCCUUCUCCUGUCCCCAGCCCAGACAUCCCAGCAGCUGGUAGCAGCUGCUGAGUGUCUAAGUAGCCCUCAGAACCUGAGCCGUGCACAAGGUACUGUGGUCAGCAGCCCAAUCCCUUCUGUCCAUGCAGUGUGAGUUCCUGCAAAUGACUGUUUUCAGGAGAAAAGCAGCUCCAGAGAGCUCUCAGCCACUCUGCAGGAGACACAGAUGCUCUUGAGUUAAUGAGAAGCAGAACCUCCUAUGGCUCAUGGCUGGGGGCCCCUGUGCCCCUGUCCUGGUUCUGUCCCUGGUCAGGGCUGGGCAGGUCAAUGUUGCCUUUCCAUAGUGAGAGGCUGUGGGCAGCCACUGAUCAGAGGCCAGGCCAAAGGCCCUGGGGGUGCAGGGUGGAUGAUCUAGAGGUUGAGUGAAGACACAUCCAGGGAUGCUGAAUUCAGUUAUGCAGUCUACAAAGAUCUGGCAUCCUUUGGACUCCUUGAGUGAAGGCCUGAGUGAGCUCUUGUCUCCUGGUGUCCUGUCACUGCAGCACACACAGGGGAUCUUUAUUUGGUCCCAGUGGAGGAGGGCAGGAGACCAAAGAAGACCAGCUCAGGGGUCAGAGUGUGUGUGUGUGUGUGUGUGUGUGUGUGUGUGUGUGUGUGUGUGUGUGUAUCGGGGCUGUCUGCAACUUGAACACCCUUGCCUUGCUGAGGGAUUCAGCAUAAACUCACUCUAGCUCUGGUUUCCAGGUUAGCUUGGGCUAUUCUCCUCAACACUUCUCAUGAGUCUUCACCCAGCUUUCACUUAUUUAUUUUUUAAAUAUUUAUUUACUUAUUUGCCAUCCUGGGAGUUGAACCAAGGGC
rnacentral:lncRNA from 1 species